rnacentral:rRNA from 1 species
CUUCGGGUAAUGAGGAUGGCGGACGGGUGAGUAACGCGUAAGGAACUUGCCUCUUGGUCUGGGACAACUGUUGGAAACGACAGCUAAUACCGGAUAUUAUGAGAUUCUCGCAUGGGAAACUUAUGAAAGCUAUAUGCGCCAAGAGAGAGCCUUGCGUUCCAUUAGCUAGUUGGUGGGGUAACGGCCCACCAAGGCGACGAUGGAUAGCCGGCCUGAGAGGGUGAACGGCCACAAGGGGACUGAGACACGGCCCUUACUCCUACGGGAGGCAGCAGUGGGGAAUAUUGGACAAUGGGCCACAAGCCUGAUCCAGCAAUUCUGUGUGCACGAUGAAGGUCUUCGGAUUGUAAAGUGCUUUCAGUUGGGAAGAAGAAAGUGACGGUACCAACAGAAGAAGCGACGGCUAAAUACGUGCCAGCAGCCGCGGUAAUACGUAUGUCGCAAGCGUUAUCCGGAUUUAUUGGGCGUAAAGCGCGUCUAGGCGGAAAAAUAAGUCUGAUGUUAAAAUGCGGGGCUCAACUCCGUAUUGCGUUGGAAACUGUUUUUCUAGAGUACUGGAGAGGUGGGCGGAACUACAAGUGUAGAGGUGAAAUUCGUAGAUAUUUGUAGGAAUGCCGAUGGAGAAGUCAGCUCACUGGACAGAUACUGACGCUGAAGCGCGAAAGCGUGGGGAGCAAACAGG